rnacentral:misc_RNA from 1 species
GAUGUGAUGUUGAAAAGAGAUGGACAGAUAAUACCUGAUAAUUUAUUACCUCCAACGAAGAAAAUAUUCAAGCUUUUUAAUCGACCCAUCUCUUUUGGAAUACUACCCUCUAAAUUAUUUAAUGAGCAGCAAAUAUUGUAAGUGAGGAAAGGUUGCCUAGAGAAGGUGGAAUUUCUCCUGUCAGAUUGUUAAAACCAAGUCUAAUCAUCUCUAGCUUUGUCAGAGAACCAAGUUCUGUUGGGAUUUUUCCACUGAGAUUGUUCCAUUGUAAAUUUAUCAUUUUGAGUUGGAA